UUGUGAUGUGUGUGUGUGUGUCUAAUUACAGGCAGGGUGGGCAUGUCUUCUGUGUGUGUGUGAGAGAGACAACAGCUUGUGUGGCAGCAGCAAUCUGCCUCUGCAGAUACAGAAUUGCACCACUCACCUAAGGACCCCAGCAGCAACAGCGACAGCACAUAACGGUGUGUGUGUGUGUGUGUGUGUGUGUGUGUGUGUGUGUGUGUGUGUGUCCUCUGCAGCUUGUCCUUGUCUGAUGCCUCAUUGUUGGCGGGUUGCCUUUGGCUGACACAACAGCAGCCCAUCAGAUAGUGCACGCACACGGCCCCUGCAGUGCAGAUCACAAAGACGAUAAACGUUAGCUGGCUGCGUGAAGUGCCUCCUCUUCCUCCCCCUCCUCCUCCUCCUCCCCCUCCUCUCCAUUCCCCCUGUCCUCCAUCCUAUGGCAUUCUCACUGACAGCCACAGCUUUUGCACACAUCAGACAGGGACUUAAGACACUCACUGAAAAAGCUCUGGAAAUUUUAGGUUUUUUUUUUGUUUUUUUUUUGUUAGGAAAAUACAUUUUAUGAUAAAUAUCCGCCAUUUCUCAGCGUAUGUGCAUGAAAUGGUACGUUUCCACUGGUAGAAUUGGAAGCAUUCUUUAGUUUGUGCAUAUUGAGUGAGAGAGUGGGGAGUUUGUGUCUGACGCUGUUUUCAUCCUGACUGUAGUUGGUUUCCUCCUUUGUCAGGAAUUGUCUGUCUGGUGAUUGUUUCAGGAAGACAAUGCUGUUUUACUGGCCCGUGUAGUCAAAGUUUGACUGAUCCAAAGAGAAUUUGUAUGAAAGUGAGUCACAGCUGAAUUUUAACAGCAUUUGUUUUUUUUAGAUCCCUUUUCUAUUACAACCUGCAUUUUUGUGGAGUCUGCUUUUAGAGAUGAUCUGUGUAGUUUGGUCACAGACAGACGUCACCAGAGCUCUGUUGGGUGUGACCACAUAUAUGUAUAUGGUUUUUUUUGUUUUUCUCUGGCACAGAUUGUGUGUUUUUACAUUUCCUCUUAACCAAAGAGCCCCAUAGUGAAUGAGAAUGUGUCCCAAAUACGCCUGAGCUCUGCUGCUGAGUGAGCCAAAGGGCUCGCAGAGAUUGAGAACACAGCUGCACAGUCACACCCCCACCCAGCACACACAACUGCCUCGCCCAAAGACCUGACACUUCACAGUGGAGAGAGAAUGUGUGUGUGUGUGUGUGUGUGUGUGUGUGUGUGUGUGUGUGUGUGUGUGUGUGUGUGUGUGUGUGUGUGUGUGUGUGUGUGUGUGUGUGUGUGUGUGUGUGUGUGUGUGUGUGUGUGUGUGUGUGUGUGUGUGUUGCAAAGCUUCUACAGAUGUCACAGCUACUAGGUCAUAUGAUGCCACUUAUUCUCAACACACCAAAUACACCAAAGAUUUCUUCUUAAACUCCCAACAGUGAAUGGAGUGGACUUGUGUGUGUGUGUGUGUGAGAGAGAAACUUGCGAGCCGAGAUGCCAGAUAUUUGUACAGAUGUAUGUAUAGCAAUGAAAUCAUUAGACCCCUAGCUUAAGGAUGAACAUAAAUGUGUUUCUGUAAGAGCGUGAUGACCUUGAAAAAGAAAUGAUCGGCAGAGACACGGCUAUGAUGGCAGACAGGCAGAAGGUGCUGAAGACUUCCAGAAAUCUCUGCUCACUCACCCACUCGUGUCUGGUGGAAUGUGUUUUUGAGCGCUGAACUGCUACCCACCCUAAACCAAAUACUAUAGGCACUCCACCCCCCCCCCCCCCCCCCCCCCCACCACCACCUCUCCAUUGCAUCUCAUUUCACAUUUUUUUGUUGUUUGUUUUACUGUACCGACUGGAAACUGGGUGAACUCUCAUAGGAAGUGCUGUGAAGAUGAGACAUACGUAUUGCCCUUUCACCCGCAGUGAUGGGAGUGUUCCUAGUAGCUGCAAUAACAAAUAGUUGUUGAAUCAGAGUGUCAAUCAAGGGUAUGUUAAGCAUUGUGAGAUACCCCGUGUGUGUGUGUGUGUGUCUGUCCACUUCCCAGUAGUGUCUUCAUUCUAUUAUUUGCCCCCCUAAAUUUACAGUUUCAAACUGAAUAAACCUGGAGCUUGGCACAGGUCUUGUAUUUGUGCACAGAUGUGUGUAUGUGUGUGUGUGUGUGUUUGUGCACAGAUGUGUAUGUGUGUGUGUGUGUGUCAUGGUGUGUGGUACUAAACAUAUACACUGGGAACUUGAUUAUGUUUUAUGUCAAAUUUGUCAUUUUUAUAUAACAAACAUAUCUGUAUAAAUGAACUAACAGUAAUUUUUAAAUUAUAUUAAAUAAAAUUGUUAUAGUUAACACA